rnacentral:misc_RNA from 1 species
AAAAAAAUGAUAAAAAAAACCCAAUAAUUACAGAAAUACCCUUCACUCUCUCCGCCGAUUUUCUCUCUUCUCGCCAAACUCCGGUGAGACAACCAAAUCCACUGGCUUCCUCUAUUCCCCAGCCGAGACCACCAACGAAUCCCCAUCAUCUUUACCCUGAACGGAAAACCCUAGCCGCCGUCCUCGCUCCUCCUUUCCCUUAUCUCCUCGUCUACCUCCAAACAGAACCACCGUGAAACCACCAAAGACAACGAAACGCGGCCUUCUUUCUUGCUUUUCUCCGUUGACAGCCACCAUUGAAACCCCCAACAUAUGAUUUCGUUUCUUCGUCUUCACUAUAUCGUCAACGAACAAGACCCCUCCACUAUUGCGUCGUCCUCAACAACGAACCAGGCAAACCAGCCGUAGGGAACUCCGAUACAGUGGGUUUUCUACUCGAUUGUAUUUCAAUACUCUUUUGUUAGCUCUCUAGAUUCAGAAUCGAAAUAGCCAUUUUAAGGUUCAGCUAAAGGCAAAACAGAAGAUGUUGAAGCUUUCAAAAGAGACCUCCAGAAUAAGCUAACUCAGAUAGUUUCUCAGAUCACUAAAGAAGAAGAGGAAUACCGAGUUGAACAGAAUAUUCAUCGGCAGGUUGAAGAAGAAUUGAUUAUUUUGGAAAGUAAAGCAUCACCGGUAGAGGGAAUCACAAAAGAAAAUAUGGAAACAAGAGUUAGCCAGAUAUCCUUGAAUUUGUGUUUUUUGCUCUUCUGCUACUUAGGAAAUUUGUUGCUAUCUGAACCAAAAAUUCCUGCCAUAGUAGAGAAUGCUAAGCAUUUCCAGAAGGUAAAAAGAACUUCUAUCCAAGUACCUUUACACACGAAGUUGCAAAAUCCUAAACUGCUUCAGCUUGUAUAUUCAUAGGGAUAUUCAUGUCUGGGGCUUAUCUAAUUGUUUGACAAUGGACAUGAACCUCCUAUUGUGGAGGUUGAGAAUUAGAGUGGAGGGUCAAUAGGUAGUUGGGCGUAUUGCUUUUCUUUUCUCUCUGUUGUUCCUUUAGCCUCUGCUAUCUUAUUAUCUUCUUGUUGUUUCUGCUUGUUGCUACUUUCUCUUUUUUAUCAUUUUUAGUAUCGAUGGUCUAUUGGAAAUAACUUCUCUACCUUCCCAAGGUAGGAUUAUAGUCUGUGUGCACUCUACCUUCCCAACGCAGGUGUAGAGCUAACUUUUAUAGUUCAUUUGCAUCCUUU